UGCCUCAGCUGGUUGUGUGUCACGGGACAAAGUUCAGGGUUCGACCUCCAUCUCAGUCUGAAUCAGCUCCUGUGAGUAAAUCAACCCUUCGCUUGUUUCACUUCAUUUUCUCAACCAGUUUCUAGCCGAGCAGCUGAUACCAGAGCGCUUUUCCACACGCGAGUGAAGUCAUCCCAUCACAGAAACUGUAUUUUCUUUCUCCUCGUCGCUCCUCCCCUGCUUUGAGCAAUAACAGCUGAUUUUCUUCCUUUGACAUUGUGCAAGCCUCUGUAGCUCCGCCCCCCCCCGGCACAUGUGAGGUGGACAAACUCUCCUCUCUGCUACAGCGAUGUUUCUACACCGUCAUGGAGGCUAAAGGGCCGGUAGAGAAAGAGGUUCCACAUCCCUGUAGCCAUUUGUCUCGUUUCUUUUCAAUUCUGCAGUGACGUCGACACCAAACUGAAUGAUGUCUCCAGAGAGGACCUCGCAGGCUGGACUCUCCUCUGAGCCACGACUCAACCUCUGGCUGUUGAUGAAUGUCCCGUUGCUGCUUUUCGUGUCCUGCAGGACUAAACGUCUCGGUCGACCUACCAGAGAGAGAGAGACUGAGACCUGAGAGGUAGAGAGAGGGCGAGCUAGAGAGAGAUGCCCAGACCGACUUCGCUGUGGAUCCGACUGCAGCGUGCUACAAGAAGCUACCAGUUCACAGCUCAUGAUGUCUACACCCUCACACACAGACACACACAUUUACCUCCUGUCCCCAUGGUAACCUGGUGACGGGGGGGAGGGACCUAACUAUAGAGCUUUUCACCCAGCAACAACACACACAUGCACACACGCAUUCUGCGUCACACACCUCACAUAUGGCUCUGGCACUUAUAUACCUAGUGUGUGUGUGUCUCUCUCACACACACACAACGUGACAUCAUCAGCUGCUAACUGCCGGUUCGGUCUCAGUCCAGCAGAAGUCGUAAGUCUCAUUUGACGUGUUGACCGAUAACGAUUUUUGCCCCUGAUGUCGAUGCUCUGGGUGUAAAAUGAAUUCAGUUACCAACAUAUCAGCCAAUGCAUAUAUAUUGUUUUUUAAUGGUAAUGAUUCCUAUGAUUUUGUUAUCAAACCUUUGUGACAAAUAAAUGUAAUUCAGGGUUGUUAUUUUACAGUUUAAACCUUAUUAUAUGAAACUAUAAAUAAAUAUUAAACAGAUAUAACCAAAUAAAUAGAACUUGACAUAAGAAGUGAAACAUUUAAAAUAAACAUAAAUGCUCUUAUUUGCGUUUUUAUUCUCUGAAAUGAAGUUUUCAUAUCAGCAAACAAAUAUUUGUCUGUGAAAGGCUCCAAUCAGCUGAUAGCAACCACCAGAAAAAUCUGUUCUAUUAUUAUCAACAUCACCACAAGGGGUAGAUUCUUAUAUCUGGUUCAAUGUUGGACCAGUUAAAAGUUACUAAGACACACAGUUAUUAAAUGUUUAAUUCAUGUUUUCUUAUAUAUUUGGUCUCUUUCUGCUUUCACAUGGUGUUGGAAUACUGAAAGAAUUUGUUCCUGACAAGGAGAAUCCACCUCGAGUCAGAAUGUCAACUGACGUUAUCAUUUCUAAAACCAAUUUAAAUAAUUCAAAUAGUAUCUUUUCAAGUGAACUUGUCAAAUGUUACACUCACAAGUCCCAGCAUGUGUUUAACUUUGUCAUGUUUGAUCACUUGAGGCUGAAGUGCUCAGCCUCAGCCGAGGACUCCCCAGUGUUACACCGUCCUCUGUGACAUGAACCAGUCUGACAGAGUUUAGCUCGACUCAUUUCAAAUCCACGACAUGCCUGUUUCCUGUGACACAUCUGGAUCUGGACUUUCACUCGUCGUGGUUUUUCCGGUGCAAAUAAUAUCACGCAAACGCACCACUUUUCAAACCAGUCUACAACUCUUGACUGACAUUCAGCACCACCAGCAUUCCAGCACCGCUUUCACCCACGAACUGCACAUUUCUCAGGGAAACACUGCUUCCCUUUAUCCCUCCGUCUUCCUCCACCCUCUGUCUCUCUCCCUCAUUAGUGUCAACUAAAUGAAUGCCAUGUAA